GAUGAACGCUGGCGGCGUGCCUAACACAUGCAAGUCGAACGGGGUUAUUUUGGAAUGUCCUUCGGGGCAGGAAUCUGUAACCUAGUGGCGGACGGGUGAGUAACGCGUGAGCAAUCUGCCUUUAGGUGGGGGACAACAGCUGGAAACGGCUGCUAAUACCGCAUAAUGCAGCGAAGUCGCAUGGCUUUGCUGCCAAAGGAGCAAUCCGCCUUUAGAUGAGCUCGCGUCCCAUUAGAUAGUUGGCGGGGUAAUGGCCCACCAAGUCGACGAUGGGUAGCCGGACUGAGAGGUUGAACGGCCACAUUGGGACUGAGACACGGCCCAGACUCCUACGGGAGGCAGCAGUGGGGAAUAUUGCGCAAUGGGGGAAACCCUGACGCAGCAACGCCGCGUGAUUGAAGAAGGCCUUCGGGUUGUAAAGAUCUUUAAUUGGGGACGAAUAAUGACGGUACCCAAAGAAUAAGCUCCGGCUAACUACGUGCCAGCAGCCGCGGUAAUACGUAGGGAGCAAGCGUUAUC
rnacentral:rRNA from 1 species